AAGGUUUCCGUAGGUGAACCUGCGGAAGGAUCAUUACUAGAGCAAAGGAUAGACAGCGCCCGCGGAGCUCGCUCCCGGGGCUACCCUACUCCCGUAGGGUUUAGAGUCGUCGGGCCUCUCGGAGAAGCUCGGUCCUGAACUCCACCCUUGAAUAAACUACCUUUGUUGCUUUGGCGGGCCGCCUCGUGCCAGCGGCUUCGGCUGUUGAGUGCCCGCCAGAGGACCCCAACUCUUGUUUUUAGUGAUGUCUGAGUACUAUAUAAUAGUUAAAACUUUCAACAACGGAUCUCUUGGUUCUGGCAUCGAUGAAGAACGCAGCGAAAUGCGAUAAGUAAUGUGAAUUGCAGAAUUCAGUGAAUCAUCGAAUCUUUGAACGCACAUUGCGCCCUCUGGUAUUCCGGGGGGCAUGCCUGUUCGAGCGUCAUUAUAACCACUCAAGCUCUCGCUUGGUAUUGGGGUUCGCGGUUUCGCGACCCCUAAAAUCAGUGGCGGUGCCUGUCGGCUCUACGCGUAGUAAUACUCCUCGCGAUUGAGUCCGGUAGGUCUACUUGCCAGCAACCCCUAAUUUUUUUAAGGU
rnacentral:rRNA from 1 species